AGAGUUGAGUGUUUCAACCGAGAUCCAAAUCCAACUCGAUUAAAAAGGUCCCCAAUGACUAGUAUGUAUUCAUAAAUGUAUGAAGAUUAAAUUUGUUUAAACUAUUUUCAUGGAUGAUAGGUAGAUUAAGUUUUAUUUAUUUUCGUAUAUUCUACCUCCAUCACAAGUUGAAUGUACAUAAUCAACGCAUGACAUGAGAAUCAUAUAUGAUAACAUAUAAAUUUUCUUUUAACUAUUUUUCAGACAAGUGGUUAGAUCUUCAUAUUUAAAUAUU
rnacentral:lncRNA from 1 species